rnacentral:rRNA from 1 species
ACGAACGCUGGCGGCAGGCCUAACACAUGCAAGUCGAGCGCGAAAGCACUUCGGUGUGAGUAGAGCGGCGGACGGGUGAGUAACGCGUAAGAAUCUACCUAGUAGUGGGGGACAACUCGAGGAAACUCGAGCUAAUACCGCAUACGCCCUACGGGGGAAAGCGGGGGACCUUUGGGCCUCGCGCUAUUAGAUGAGCUUGCGUUGGAUUAGCUUGUUGGUGAGGUAAUGGCUCACCAAGGCUACGAUCCAUAGCUGGUCUGAGAGGAUGAUCAGCCACACCGGGACUGAGACACGGCCCGGACUCCUACGGGAGGCAGCAGUGGGGAAUAUUGCGCAAUGGGCGAAAGCCUGACGCAGCCAUGCCGCGUGUGUGAAGAAGGCCUUAGGGUUGUAAAGCACUUUCAAUUGGGAGGAAAAGCUAACGACUAAUACUCGUUAGCCUUGACGUUACCUUUAGAAGAAGCACCGGCUAACUCCGUGCCAGCAGCCGCGGUAAUACGGAGGUCCCAAGCGUUGUUCGGAUUUACUGGGCGUAAAGGGUGCGUAGGUGGCCAGGAAAGUUUGAUGUGAAAGCUCCGAGCUCAACUCGGAAAAUGCAUUGAAUACUACUUGGCUUGAGGAUCGGAGGGGAGACUGGAAUUCUCGGUGUAGCAGUGAAAUGCGUAGAUAUCGAGAGGAACACCAGUGGCGAAGGCGAGUCUCUGGACGAUUCCUGACACUGAGGCACGAAAGCUAGGGGAGCAAACAGGAUUAGAUACCCUGGUAGUCCUAGCCGUAAACGGUGCACACUUGCUGUAGGAGGAUUCGACCCCUUCUGUGGCGGAGCAAACGCGUUAAGUGUGCCGCCUGGGGAGUACGGUCGCAAGAUUAAAACUCAAAGAAAUUGACGGGGGCCUGCACAAGCGGUGGAGUAUGUGGCUUAAUUCGAUGCAACGCGAAGAACCUUACCUGGCCUUGACAUGCAUCUCUAAGCGUGUGAAAGCACGUGACCCUUCGGGGAAUUUGCACAGGUGCUGCAUGGCUGUCGUCAGCUCGUGUCGUGAGAUGUUGGGUUAAGUCCCGCAACGAGCGCAACCCUUGUGUCCUGUUGCCACUUCCGCUAACGCGGAAAGCACUCUGGACAGACUGCCUCGUCUCAACGAGGAGGAAGGUGGGGAUGACGUCAAGUCAGUAUGGCCCUUACGGCCAGGGCUGCACACGUACUACAAUGCCUGGUACAAUGGGAAGCAAUACCGUGAGGUGGAGCAAAUCCUCAAAACCAGGCCCAGUUCAGAUUGUAGUCUGCAACUCGACUACAUGAAGUCGGAAUCGCUAGUAAUGGCGCAUCAGCUACGGCGCCGUGAAUACGUUCCCAGGCCUUGUACACACCGCCCGUCAA